GACGAACGCUGGCGGCGUGCUUAACACAUGCAAGUCGAACGGAAAGGCCCCUUUGGGGGUACUCGAGUGGCGAACGGGUGAGUAACACGUGAGUAACCUGCCCUUGACUUCGGGAUAACUUCAGGAAACUGGGGCUAAUACCGGAUAGGAAUCCUUGCUGCAUGGUGGGGGUGGGAAACCUUCGGCGUUUUUGGAUGGACUGGGGCUUAUCAGCUUGUUGGUGGGGUAGUGGCUUACCAAGGCUUUGACGGGUAGCCGGCCUGAGGGGCCGAACGGCCACAUUGGGACUGAGAUACGGCCCAGACUCCUACGGGAGGCAGCAGUGGGGAAUAUUGCACAAGGGGCGGAAGCCUGAUGCAGCAACGCCGCGUGCGGGAUGACGGCCUUCGGGUUGUAAACCGCUUUCAGCAGGGGCGAAGCUUGUGGUGACGGUACCUGCAGAAGAAGCACCGGCUAACUACGUG
rnacentral:rRNA from 1 species